AGCAAGAUCUCUCUUCCGUCCUCCUCCUCCUCCAGUGCUCUCCUCCGGCCAGCGUGAGCUUGAGAGAGGUUGGUACCUGCAGGUAGCCAUGGACGGCCACCGCCGCGCGCCGCGCCAGAUUCUGGUGCUCGAGGAGGCGUUCAAGAAAUGUCCCCACCCCGACCAGACUCAGGUCGCAAAUCUCAGCCGCGAAACCGGCAUGGAGGUCCAUCAGAUCCAAUACUGGAGGCCAUUGGAAAUUUGUAAUUAACAAAGCUUUUAUUGUAUAGGGAUCUUCAUCGAACACAAGGCCUCCGACCAGGGGAUCUUCAUCGUCAGAUCCUUGAUGCUCCUCUCAUUCGACAACUUCGCCUUCAUUCUUUGACACAAGGAGGAGCGUCAUAGAGAUGGAGGCUGAUGUUUGUCGUCGCUAUUGUGGUCUUUCUCGGUUUAGUGUUUGUGCGUGUGUGUUUCGUCUUAUUAGCCAAGGCCCCCUUCGGGUUUGUAUCGUGUGCAUCUGUGGCUCUUGAGCCUUGGACCCAAGAUAGGUUUGUAUCUUGUUGUGUUGUGUUUACCUUGCAUUUGAAUUUUAAACUCUGCCACCGUACCCUGAACCUUGCUAUAGUUGGGGUUUAGGUUUGACUAAGCAAUAAGAAAUUAUCUGAAUAUUUUUGUAUUCUUGUUAAUAGUUUGUACUGUCAAA